rnacentral:rRNA from 1 species
UACGAAGGGGACUAGCGUUGUUCGGAAUUACUGGGCGUAAAGCGCGCGCAGGCGGCCCAUCAAGUCAGGGGUGAAAGCCCGGAGCUCAACUCCGGAAAUGCCUUUGAAACUGUUGGGCUUGAGUACGGGAGAGGUGAGUGGAAUUCCCAGUGUAGAGGUGAAAUUCGUAGAUAUUGGGAAGAACACCGGUGGCGAAGGCGGCUCACUGGCUCGUUUCUGACGCUCAGGCGCGACAGCGUGGGGAUCAAACAGG